GGGGUUGUGGCUCAGCGGUAGAGCGCUUGCCUUGCACGCACGAGGCCCUGGGUUCGAUUCUCAGCACCACA
rnacentral:tRNA from 1 species